UACAGAGGGUGCGAGCGUUUAAUCGGAAUUACUGGGCGUAAAGCGCGCGUAGGCGGCUUUUCAAGUCGAUUGUGAAAUCCCCGGGCUUAACCUGGGAACUGCAGUCGAGACUGUCUAGCUAGAGUAUGGGAGAGGGAAGUGGAAUUUCAGGUGUAGCGGUGAAAUGCGUAGAUAUCUGAAGGAACAUCAGUGGCGAAAGCGACUUCCUGGACCAAUACUGACGCUCAUGUGCGAAAGCGUAGG
rnacentral:rRNA from 1 species